rnacentral:rRNA from 1 species
AUUGAACGCUGGCGGCAUGCCUUACACAUGCAAGUCGAACGGCAGCACGGGUGCUUGCACCUGGUGGCGAGUGGCGAACGGGUGAGUAAUACAUCGGAACAUGUCCUGUAGUGGGGGAUAGCCCGGCGAAAGCCGGAUUAAUACCGCAUACGAUCUACGGAUGAAAGCGGGGGACCUUCGGGCCUCGCGCUAUAGGGUUGGCCGAUGGCUGAUUAGCUAGUUGGUGGGGUAAAGGCCUACCAAGGCGACGAUCAGUAGCUGGUCUGAGAGGACGACCAGCCACACUGGGACUGAGACACGGCCCAGACUUCUACGGGAGGCAGCAGUGGGGAAUUUUGGACAAUGGGCGAAAGCCUGAUCCAGCAAUGCCGCGUGUGUGAAGAAGGCCUUCGGGUUGUAAAGCACUUUUGUCCGGAAAGAAAUCCUUGGCCCUAAUACGGUCGGGGGAUGACGGUACCGGAAGAAUAAGCACCGGCUAACUACGUG